rnacentral:rRNA from 1 species
UACGAAGGGGGCUAGCGUUGCUCGGAAUCACUGGGCGUAAAGCGCACGUAGGCGGCUUUCUAAGUCAGGGGUGAAAUCCUGGAGCUCAACUCCAGAACUGCCUUUGAUACUGGAGAGCUUGAGUCCGGAAGAGGUGAGUGGAACUCCGAGUGUAGAGGUGAAAUUCGUAGAUAUUCGGAAGAACACCAGUGGCGAAGGCGGCUCACUGGUCCGGUACUGGACGCUGAGGUGCGAAAGCGUGGGGGAGCAAACAGG